AGAGACCGCGCGCGCGAUGACAAUAGGUUUCGUGUUAGAUGAGAAGCGAGAAAUUUGCCAUUCUCUGCUAGAUUCUGUCCUAGACAAGUCGUUUUGAGAUAUUUACUUAGCUUUUGCUUCGUUCGUGAAUUCGUCGUCUUCGAUUAGCUUGCUUAAACCACUGUUAUUUCACUUGUGUAAUAAUGGUCUUUUACGGCAACAAGUUCACCGGGAACUGUGUGAUGAAUACCCAGGAGGGUAGGCGUUGUAGGAGGAAGGCACCCCUGCCUGUUGAUGAAGGCGAUGAAUGCUGGCAGCACCGACAGUAUGUACAGAGUUAUUUUCUAAAUUAAAAAUGAAUUUACCAACCAUCGAUUGCUUAAUACACGCAGGAUCGACCCUUCAGUGAGUUGAAAGUGAUUUAAUUUAGGGUCACUCUUUGUAAUUACUCUAUCGAAUGUGUUUAAAUUGCAACAUAGGUCUAUGCACUUAAUAUUCGCAUCCUAUUAUUGGCAAUCAAGUUGUAGUCUAGUCCUAGUAAUAGUCUAUGUCCUGUUUUAUUUUUUUACUUUUUUACAGAAAGCCAGCCGAGGUCCAGCUGUGCUCUGCACAUAUCGGGCUUCAUGGGAAUGGCAGACGUUGCAGCCGGCGUGGACGUCACUCGCUAGACGAAAACGCCGUUGAACUCUACUGCACGCAACACGUCAACAAGUUGCAUCGCGAGAACGGUCGUGCGGAGGUCGUUCCUGCUAAUCGCCAACAGCAGGAUGAACAGCGUAGGAGGGCGGAGGAGCGUGAGCAGCUCCACCCAAGACGAAGGUCACCGCGUCUGGUAGAGCGAGAGAUCGCAGCUGCCGCCGCUGUUCAACUCGCCGCUGAGAGAGAGCAACGUCGUGCCGCCAAUCGGGCAAACCAGAACCUGCGGAGGUCGGCCCGGAUUGCCGCGAGGCGAGGCAAUGUGUGAUAAUAGCCUGGACUGAUUCGCAGAAGCAGCAGGGGGGAGACCGAGGGGUGAUACUGGGUCGAACACUGCUGAGGUUCUCGGGACGUAAACGCCUUUCUAUAGGAGUAGUAGGGAGGAAGCCGAGACGGGUAGUGCAUGGUCACUCAAACCAGGCCCGCUGCACUAUCGUGGUCAAGAAAGACUGGGUGUGGUCAGUCGGGGUAGACGCCGGAGGCCAUUCUCUUUCUUUGACCGCCUGUAAAUUAUUUCCAAGAAGAUCAGGCCUCGCCGUGGGACGCGCACACACUGGUAUGCAGGUAUUUCAAU